UACGUAGGGGGCGAGCGUUAUCCGGAUUUACUGGGCGUAAAGCGCGUUAAGGCGGUUGGCAAAGUUGGUUGUGAAAUCUCAGGGCUCAACCCUGAAAUUGCGACCAAUACUGGUCGACUAGAGUGUGAGAGAGGAAGGUGGAAUUCCCGGUGUAGUAGUGAAAUGCGUAGAUAUCGGGAGGAACACCAGUGGCGAAGGCGGCCUUCUGGCUCAUAACUGACGCUGUAGCGCGAAAGCGUGGGGAG
rnacentral:rRNA from 1 species